AAGGGCCCACUCUGAUGCUACCACUGCCCUCAUGCUCCCUCCUGCCCACAUUCCCUGCCACAGCUGGUGCUGCCUGGACCUCCUGCCAGUGACGCUGGCUCUUUCCUCACAGCCUCGCAGGGCCUGGGAUCCAGCUGUCUGGACCUGAGCAUGCCCUCCCCCCACACAGGCCCAGUGGAGUCCACCUCCCCAAAACAGAGCCCCGAGUCAACACUUUGAUCCAGGUGGACGGCAGCUUCGAGGACACCCUGGAGAUCACCACCUACAGAGCGAAGCUACUCAGGGAAGUGACCCAAUGGAUUAUCCAAGAGUUGGUCAAGUGGCACUGAUGCCGCCAGGCCCGAAGCAAGAGGCUUGGGUGCGGGGGACAGGGCCUUUGUACAAGCAGGCUCCAGUGGGAGGGCAGGUUUGUUCCUCCCCCUCAGAACUCUUCCACAAAAACUGGAACCCUGACUCCUGAGCCGGGAGGAUCGUUUAGUAUCAGUAUAUCCCACGGGUGGACGACCGAGGACCGAGUUCUGCAAGUGGGAAGAGCUGUGGCCUCCCCGGCUUGAGGAGGGAAGCGCAGACCUGAGGAGGCCAGGAAAACCCUGGAAGCUGACUCUGGGACAAACAGAAUGCUGUUGCCCACUGACUGUGAAGGCCACCGCCCACUGUGCAGGCGAGCAGGGCUGCAAGUCCAAGGUUGACCUGUUCCGGUUCUGGAAGUUGGAGAAAACAAGAAUGCACUGGUCCCCGCCUUGUUUGGGCUUUCCUUGUUUAUUGGCGCGCACAGAUUUAUUUCAGGGCUGAUCACCAAUGUAAAGAGACGGAGAAGCGCAGCUCUGUGCAGAUGGACUGGAGGGAAAGUGCGCGGUUUCCCUGGAGGUGGAGGUGGAGGUGGAGGUGGGGUGGGAGGGAGAUGGGAGAAUUGGCCUAGAGUCACCGCGACCCGGGCUCCAUGGUGCCCCACUUUUUAGUUUUAAUUUGCUCAUCAUUAGUGCUUUGUGUAUCUCCAUUAAAAAUGUUUAGUAUUUUGAAGUCAUCAAGAUAUUUUCUGACAUUGUGUUCUAAGAAGAAAUUUUGAUUUGCCUUUCAUAGUCCCGUAAUACAAUUGACAUUAAUUUUUUGUGAACAGUGUGAGAUAGAACUUAGCUCCCUUUUCUUCUGUAGACACACCCUGUAUGUUCCAGCAUACCAUUGCUGUGCUUGUGUAGUGCCGCCUUUGUCAACAGGAAGUGAAUAUGAAUACGCACAUGGCAUAUUGUUAUACUCCGUUCAUUGGCACGUUUGUCCAUUCUUACAUCAAAACCAUAAUGUUUUAAUUCCUGUAGUUUCAUCAUAAUAUUUGAAAACCUAGAGAAAGUCCUGAUGCCUUAUUCUUUUUCAAGGGUGUCUUGAAUAUUCCUCACCUUUUGAAUAUUCAUAUAAAUUGCAGAAUCCACUUGCCAAAUUCCACUAAACAGUUAAAAUUGUGGUUAGGAUUCCUUGAAUCUACAGAUCAAG
rnacentral:lncRNA from 1 species